UGGGGAAUAUUGCACAAUGGAGGGAACUCUGAUGCAGCGACGCCGCGUGAGUGAUGAAGGAAUUCGUUUCGUAAAACUCUGUUCUAUGGGAAGAAAAGGACUGUACCAUAGGAGAAAGCUCCGGCUAAAUACGUGCCAGCAGCCGCGGUAAUACGUAUGGAGCGAGCGUUGUCCGGAAUUAUUGGGCGUAAAGGGUGCGCAGGCGGCUUUACAAGUUGGAUGUGAAAUAUUGUGGCUCAACCACAAACGUGCAUCCAAAACUGCAAAGCUUGAGUUAAGGAGAGGUAAGUGGAAUUCCUGGUGUAGCGGUGGAAUGCGUAGAUAUCAGGAGGAAUACCGGUGGCGAAGGCGACUUACUGGACUUAAACUGACGCUCAGGGACGAAAGCGUGGGGAGCAAACAGG
rnacentral:rRNA from 1 species